UACGUAGGGGGCAAGCGUUAUCCGGAUUUACUGGGUGUAAAGGGAGCGUAGACGGCGAUGCAAGCCUGAAGUGAAAGGCGGGGGCCCAACCCCCGGACUGCUUUGGAAACUGUAUGGCUGGAGUGCAGGAGAGGUAAGUGGAAUUCCUAGUGUAGCGGUGAAAUGCGUAGAUAUUAGGAGGAACACCAGUGGCGAAGGCGGCUUACUGGACUGUAACUGACGUUGAGGCUCGAAAGCGUGGGGAGCAAACAGG
rnacentral:rRNA from 1 species